GCUGGGUAUGGUGGUGCAUGCCUGUAAUCCCAGCAGCUCGGGAGGCUGAGACUGGAAGAUCACGAGCACAAAGGCACCUCAACAAAAAUAAGCGAGGUGCUAAAGCAGCUCACUGAGACCCUAUCUCAA
rnacentral:SRP_RNA from 1 species